rnacentral:rRNA from 1 species
AUUGAACGCUGGCGGCAUGCCUAACACAUGCAAGUCGAACGGCAGCAUGACGUGUAGCAAUACACGUUGAUGGCGAGUGGCGGACGGGUGAGUAAUACGUAGGAAUCUGCCCAGUAGCGGGGGACAACUUAGGGAAACUUAAGCUAAUACCGCAUACGCACUACGGUGGAAAGCAGGGGAUCGCAAGACCUUGCACUAUUGGAUGAGCCUACGUCCGAUUAGCUAGUUGGUAGGGUAAUGGCCUACCAAGGCGACGAUCGGUAGCUGGUUUGAGAGAACGACCAGCCACAUUGGGACUGAGACACGGCCCAAACUCCUACGGGAGGCAGCAGUGGGGAAUAUUGGACAAUGGGGGCAACCCUGAUCCAGCAAUGCCGCGUGUGUGAAGAAGGCCUUCGGGUUGUAAAGCACUUUUAGUGGAGACGAGAAAGCACGGGGUUAACACCUCCGUGUCGUAGACUAACUCACAGAAAAAGCACCGCA